rnacentral:lncRNA from 1 species
AUGCCCAGGGCAUCUACCCAGAGGCAUUCUCCCCCCAAAUCUGCAGGUUUGGAGGUGCGGGGGGGGGGCAGAAGAUCUAUUGUGAGGAAGCCAAGAAGCAGAUGUCUGCCUCCCCUGCUCCCUCCCACAGGGCAAGGAUGUGAAACUAACCCAGAGUGGACGGUGAAGUGCAACUGCCGGGUGUUCUUCCAGUUCUGGAGAAUGCACAGCUUCCUGCUCAAUGCCAGCUGGACCUUCUUCCUAGAGAGAAGCAACUGCUGUCGGACACAUUGCUGGGGAAAGCCAGACAUGAGCCUCCUUCAGCACCGGACACAGCCUAGGAUCCUGCUGGGCUCAGGACCUCCCCUCCCAUCUCUAGUCCCACGAGGAAUGUUUGUUCCCGUUCUCUGCUGGGGGAGUUUUUUCAUGGCGGGGCCUCAUCCUCGACGAAGCUGUGGGACUCAGAGCCAGGCUCUGUGUGGCCCGACGAUCCUGCUGACCCUGGCCUCCUGCAGACCAUGGGCCGCCAUACCCCUGGCCGCAUUUCCAGCUUUUCAAGUGGGAAGAAACCACCCCGUGUCCCAGGACUUGCACUUCUGUGGGCCAUCCUCAGCAAGACAUUUUCAUGGAUAUGAAACUGGACACCGAGUUGACGCUGAAGUUCAGCUGCUGGGUCAUCUUCCAUUUCUGGAGCCUGCUCAGCUUCCUUGUAAAACCCGGCUGGGCUUUCACCCUGGACAGGAGCAACUGGUAACAGCACUGUCCCUCGUGCCCUCAUAGCUAGAUUGCCAAGCAGCUGUUUGGAAGCAAGUCUUCCCACUACACCAGCCCUGCACAUUGUGUGUCCUCCAGAGGCACCAUAGAUUGGAAAUGAAUCCUGGUGCCUGGCUAGCAAGACAGCAGUAGCCAGUGAGACAUGACGAGAUCUCAGAAGGAGAGUAUAUGUGUGAACUUAUCCUCAGGCUCCUCUGUACCCUAGCUUUACUGCAAACACACAGGUAAAGUAUAAAUGGUGUCCACCUCAGAAAUGAAUCGCAUUCUGAGGCUUUUUACUCAUUCUCCUUCUAGUGCUUGGCUUACAGAGUGGGUAUAGAAUGAUGGAGUUACAUACAUGUGUGUUACUUUCUGAGUGCAUCCUUUAAUUCUCCCUGCCUAGGGCAUCAUUGCUCUUCAAGGGCAGGGGAAAAACCACCUCAGAUCAUAUAUUUAUAUCUUCUCUUCUCCCUGAACACUUUGUAACUCUCAGAAUCUUCUAGAAUCCAGGCACAGACAUUCAUGGAUACUCUAUCUUUUCAGUAGGCAAGAGAUUUUAGAAAGGGAAGCAGUUCUCCUGCCCUGCACCUAUUUUCACUGCACAAAAGUCAGUCAUAUCAAGUGUACAAGUUUAGUAACUGGAGGCCACUGGUGGGCUGCAGCCCAAUUCCAAAAGAAAGACAAUUAUUAUUUUUGGAAACAGUGUCCAAACUAAAAUAAUGCAGAUACAGUAGCCUGUCAAUAGAGUCCUUAAUAUUUUUCCUAAUCCUUUUUAUCCUUGGAGUUGGUGCUUUCUCAUGUAAAGAACCUACAGAAUCAUAGACUUAAUGCUGACUUAAGUUGGCUUUCCCAAAUAUCAAAUAUCAGGCAUUAUCUGUAGUUGAGGACCUUCAUGAGUUUGAAGAUCAUGUCAUUUUACACGGAGCCUUCUCUGUAAGGAUAAGACAAAGGGAUUUGUCCUUUGCUAAAAUGUUCAGUGGUGUAGCAGUAGAAAGGGGGGUCUGCCACUGUAGCACAGUGAGCUAAGCUGCUGUCUGCAGUGCCUGCAACCCUAUAUGGGCUCUGGUUUGAGUCCCAACUGUACUGUUUCUGAUCCAGCUCCCUGCUGAAGGCCUGGGAAAGCAGUGGGAGAUGGCACAAGUUCUUGUUCCACUGCACCCCCUUGGGACAUCCAGAGGAUGCUUCUGGCUCCCGAGUGGGGCCUGGCCUAGUCCUGGGUAUUGCAGCCAUUUGGGGAGUACAUUGAAUAUCUGUCUCUCUCUCCCCCUCUCCUUCUCUCUCUCUCUCAAACUGCAUUUCAAAUAAAUUUUAAAAAGUUCUUACUAGAAGAAAGAUC